rnacentral:rRNA from 1 species
UACAGAGGGGGCAAGCGUUGUUCGGAAUUACUGGGCGUAAAGGGCGCGUAGGCGGCCUUCUAAGUCGAACGUGAAAUCCCCGGGCUCAACCCGGGAACUGCGUCCGAUACUGGAAGGCUUGAAUCCGGGAGAGGGAUGCGGAAUUCCAGGUGUAGCGGUGAAAUGCGUAGAUAUCUGGAGGAAUACCGGUGGCGAAGGCGGCAUCUUGGACCGACAUUGACGCUGAGGAGCGAAAGCUAGGGGAGCAAACGGG